rnacentral:rRNA from 1 species
UACGUAGGGGGCAAGCGUUGUCCGGAUUUAUUGGGCGUAAAGAGCGUGUAGGCGGCCAGACAGGUCCGUUGUGAAAACUCGAGGCUCAACCUCGAGACGUCGACGGAAACCGUCUGGCUAGAGUCCGGAAGAGGAGUGUGGAAUUCCUGGUGUAGCGGUGAAAUGCGCAGAUAUCAGGAAGAACACCUAUGGCGAAGGCAGCACUCUGGAACGGUACUGACGCUGAGACGCGAAAGCGUGGGGAGCGAACAGG